AACGCGAAGAACCUUACCUGGGUUUGACAUCCCCGGACAGCCGUAGAGAUACGGUCUUCGUAGCAAUACGACCGGGAGACAGGUGCUGCAUGGCUGUCGUCAGCUCGUGUGGUGACAUGUUGGGUUAAGUCCCGCAACGAGCGCAACCCCUGUCCUUAGUUGCCAGCAUUCAGUUGGGCUCUCUAAGGAGACUGCCGUGGUUAACACGGAGGAAGGUGGGGAUGACGUCAAGUCCUCAUGGCCUUUAUAUCCAGGGCGACACACGUGAUACAAUGGUCGGUACAAAGGGAAGCCAAGGAGCGAUCCGGAGCCAAUCCCAAAAAGCCGAUCUCAGUUCGGAUUGGAGUCUGCAACUCGACUCCAUGAAGUUGGAAUCGCUAGUAAUCGCGGAUCAGCACGCCGCGGUGAAUACGUUCCCGGGCCUUGUACACACCGACAUA
rnacentral:rRNA from 1 species